CAUCCGGUCGAUCCUGCCGGAGCGCGACGCUCUCCCCAAGGACGAAGCCAUGCAUGCCCGCUCACCCGGGACGCGGCGGACGGCUCAGGACAACGGUUGCACCCCCCGCGGCGGUCCCUGCUAGCCGGACACCGCUGGCAACCCGGCGCCAAGACGUGCGCGCAAGGGCGGGCGCCCGCGGGCGAGCAGCGUGACGCAGCGACGG
rnacentral:rRNA from 1 species